ensembl:misc_RNA 7SK 7SK RNA
GGACGUGAGGGUGAUCUGGCUGCGACAUUUGUCACCACAUUCAUCCCCAGGGUUGAUUUGACUGAUCUGGCUGGUUAGGUGGGUGGCCCUUUCCUUCUACACAGCUCCAUGUGCAUUCCUCCUGGAGCUGUGUGCUUGGUCAAAGAAGACGAUCUUCCCCAGUAGAGGAGGACCUUUCCUGGUUCACAGGUCUAUAAGUAGCUCCUGCUAGAACUUCCAAACAAGGUUCAUUUGUAGGAAAAUACAAAGCAGUCAAACCUCCCGGACUCCACAUCCAAAAUGAGGUGUUGCAUUUGGCAGUCUCUGCUUU